GGGGAUUGGGGCCGCAGGGGUUCGGCCUGGAGGAGCGGCGUGGGGGCGCCGGGGCCCUGAUUCCAUCCUGGGCGGGUCGGCCCCGCAGCCGCUGCGCUCGGAACCCCCUAGGCGCCCCGCAGUACCCGGCGUCCUUCCUGCCUCCUCCUCGCCCCUGUCCUCCGUCCGAGCCCCAGUCCCGCCGACCCUGCCGGCGCCUCCGCCCUCCCGCCCUCCCGCCCUCGGUUUCCCACGACCUCGGCGCGACGCGCGCGGGAUCCAGUGGAGACUGCUUUCCCAUAGGCCGCCAUCCAGGGCGGGGAAGGGAGCGGACCCUCCCGGCUCCAGAGAAAAGCAGCCUGAUUCGGAGGAACGGGUUGCUUGGGGCGGCUCCCAGCUCGAGUUGUGGGCCCCGCCGCGGGUGCCCUUCGGAAACGCGCUGACACCAGGCGAAGCCGCCUCUGCCCGGACGCAGCCCGACACUUGGCCCGCGGGGUUCCCCGGGACGCCUGAGAGUAAUGGGCGCGAGGGGGAAAGCCGAACGGCCUCCCUGUGCCCGGCGCAGGCGGUGCCCCCUAGCUGGGUUCGCCGCGGCGGCGCUGCGAGCCCCCGACACUGAGGACUUUUGGUCCAACAGUCCGACGGGGCCCGGUGCGCCGUUCCCUCCGCCCUCUCCCCGCUCCCCGGCCCGCGCGUCUUGGAGGGUGGGUGAAUUGUCGGAAGCACUCUACGCCUGGCCAACCCAAACCAGGAACCUCCGCACCAAACAGCCCACGUUGCUGCUGCUCUGGGGUUUUAACGGCCAAGGGAGACUGGAGAAGGGGUGUUCUGCCUUCCCAUUCUCUUAGGCCCGUCCACUCCCCAUCCCCACAGUUUGGAAGUGGCCUUUUCUGAGGACUCCAGCGCAAAGCAUGUUUCUCCUUUUGAGCUGCGGAAGCCUUGCUUGUUCCCGCCAUUGGGAGGGCAUUCCAUCAUCUGCAGCUGCCUUCCUCGGUGGGCCUUGUCCCUUAGCGUCCACCUAGGGGACAUUCUAAGCUUCUUGAGACCUGCUUGUCCACCCCAACAUGUCUCAGCAUAUGGCUGUGCCCUAAGGGGUCUUUGAGGGCAUUUUAGGAGGUGAGCGGCGCCCCUACCUGGGCUCCGCGGGGCCGAUUCGGUUUGCCCUUUGCUGGCAUGUCAGUGAAUUAACUGCUGUCCUUGGGAUGACCUGCCCUAUGAUUUGGCCUCUGGAGCAUCCCGGGUGUGUAUUUCAGAACUCCUCCCAUCUUAUCCACCUGCUGAAGGCCUGGCCCCCUGAUAUGGUUUGGCUCUGUUUCCCCACCCAAAUCUCACCUUGAAUUUUAAUAAUCCCCACGUGUCAUGGGCGGGACCAGGUGGAGGUAAUUGAAUCAUGGAGGUGGUUUCCUGAACGCUGCUCUCGUGACAGUGAGUUCACAAGAUUUUUUUUUUUAACGGAGUAUCACUCUGUCACUCAGGCUGGAGUGCAGUGGCGCGAUCUUGGUUCACUGCAACCUCUGCCUCCCGGGUUCAAGAGAUUCUCCUGCCUCAGCCUCCCGAGUAGCUGGGAUUACAGGUGCGCGCCAUCACGCCCGGCUAAUGUGUAUUUUUAGUAGAGAAAGGGUUUCACCAUGUUGGUUAGGCUGGUCUGGAACUCCUGACCUUGUGAUCUGCCUGCCUCGGCCUCCCAAAGUGCUGGGAUUACACGCGUGAGCCACUGUGCCCAGCCGAUCUGAUGCUUUUAUAAAGGGCUUUCCCCGUCCCCCUUCCUCUCUCUCACCACCCUGUGAGAAAGGUGCCUUUCUUCCCCCUUCACGUGAACUGCCUCCAUGAUUGUAAGCUUCCUGAGGCCUCCCCAGCUAUAAGGAACUGUGAGCCAAUUAAACUGCUUUAUAAAUUAACCCAGGUAUUUCUCGGGUAUUUCUUCAUAGCAGCGUGAGAAUGGACUGAUACACCCCCAAUGUGGAGUAGGGGAAGCUGAGGGAGUUAGGAGGUCCCAGCAAGGUGAAGGUGUGAUGGGGUCUUGGGACAGUGAGAGUGCUGCCUCAGGCAACAGUGGGCAGGUCAUUGAGGCUCCAUUGAGCUUGGUGAGCAGGAAGCUGAGAGAGGGAGCUGUCGAUUCAGGAGUCAGGGGUGACAUGGAAGGAACCUAGGGCUUUGCCAGGCACAGGUGAAGGAAGGCCACUUAGGUACUGGCAGUGGGAAGAGAGGGCAGGGAGUGGUGGACGGAGAGGAAGAGAAAGCUGAAC
rnacentral:lncRNA from 10 species